GCCCAGAUAGCUCAGUUGGUAGAGCAGAGGACUGAAAAUCCUCGUGUCGCUGGUUCGAUACCAGCUUUGGGCACUA
rnacentral:tRNA from 1 species